AUAAUGUAUCUCCAGAAAGAAAAAAAAAGGAAAAAUUUCAGGUGAAGAACAUGAAAGGAAAUUCUUGAGAGAAUAAUUGGAUUGGUAUCCAGAGAGAACUGAAUGGUGGGACCAUGUUUCCAGAUCUGAAGAGGUCUAGGAGACUAAGGAUUUUCAUGUGGAAUAGAGGUUUUUAACCUGGGUUCCAAGAACUUCUAUAUGGAUACAAAGAGAAACUAAAAAGGACGCGACUGCCAGGAAUCCAUGCUGUUUGGAGUCCAUCACCACCCAGGUAGCCGUGGAACCCUUUGAAAGUGGCUCUCGGCUGCCACUGGACGCAGGAAAAAUCAGGACUCAUCACUGGGGAAGGAAGCAUGAAAGAGAACAUUCUGCAGACCUUGAAUGGAAGCUUCAGGAAUGCAGAUGCAUGUGUCACAGCUAAAGACAGAAUUCUGGCUCCUGGUCACAGCAGGGAAAAACAAUUUGCACAUUCAUGAAUUAUGGUUCAUUUUACACUUCUGUUCUCAAGGCUAAUCAUUUGUUUAAGUAAGUCCUUUGUCUUGAUUAGAGCUUUUAGCAAAUGUAAGUGUUUAGUGAGCCCGGCUCCCUGUUGUGAAAAUGCAAGACUUAUGAAAUUUAAACACACUCCUGGAAAUAGAAACCCGCCUGUAUUUAUCAAUGGCCGUAACCCAGGCAGAAUCUUUUAUUUAAACAAUUAACUUUGGGAAUAGAUGUGCAAACAAGCCCAGUUCAUAAAGUUAUUCAUGUCCUUC